AGGACAAUGUUCUGUGUCUUGAUUUUGGUCAUGAUUUCACCAUGCACACAUUUCUCAAAACCCAUGCAGUUUAUUGUAAACAAAUUAUAUUCCAAUAAAGUUGAUUUACAAAAGGAACACAUUCUUACACGUUUACCCAAAUCCUGUGAAUUCUCAAAGAAGCUAUGCUCAGUGUCACUAACUUAGAAUUCACUUUGUACCUGAACUUUGGUGGCUGUGAAGGCCUCCUGGUAGACCUCGGCUAUCCUGUGCACCAGAGGAAGAAACGUCUACAUAAUAAAUGUACUGUUUCAUCCUUCUAUUCACAUCACUCUAAGAGACAGACGUGUGCAUGUCAGCACACUGUAAAUAUUCAGGAAAGCCAAUUUUACAGAGAAAUGAUCAACAGGGAAAAGCAACAAAACCAGGGAAUAUAGUCGUCUCCUGUACCGUGCUAUUAAGUCUAAGACGUUCCUUGAGGGUAAGAUCUUUAACUUCUUAUCUCUGCUAACAUCUUAUCCCUAACUUCUUAUUCCACAACACAAGCAAGUACCUGGAAAAUAAAUUAAGUAAUGGAAAG
rnacentral:lncRNA from 1 species